rnacentral:rRNA from 1 species
UACGUAGGGUGCGAGCGUUUGUCCGGAAUUAUUGGGCGUAAAGGGCUCGUAGGCGGUUUGUCGCGUCGGGAGUGAAAACACUGGGCUUAACUCAGUGCUUGCUUCCGAUACGGGCAGACUAGAGGUAUUCAGGGGAGAACGGAAUUCCUGGUGUAGCGGUGAAAUGCGCAGAUAUCGGGAGGAACACCAGUGGCGAAGGCGGGUCUCUGGGCCGAUACUGACGCUGAGGAGCGAAAGCGUGGGGAGCGAACGAGG